rnacentral:ncRNA from 22 species
UGCGAUGAGUCGAGAGGUCUGGUAGCAACCCAAAUGGCUACCAUUAGACAUUUCGAGUGGGGCACAUUAACCUGCCGGAUUGCAGGGUGCCUGGUAAUGAUGAAAGUGGACGUUCA